GCUGCACAUCCAUGGGAUGAGCUGUGGAUAGCGGAGAAAUUCCAAUCGAACUCGGAGAUAGCUGGUUCUCCUCGAAAUAGCUUUAGGGCUAGCGUCGUGUAAUUGAGUAAUGGAGGUAGAGCACUGAAUGGGCUAGGGGCUAUAGUAGUUACCGAACCCUAUCAAACUCCGAAUGCCAUAUACUUGUAUCACGGCAGUCAGACUGCGAAUGAUAAGAUCCGUAGUCAAAAGGGAAACAGCCCAGACCAUCAGCUAAGGUCCCAAAGUGUAAGUUAAGUGGAAAAGGAUGUGGGAUUUCUAAGACAACUAGGAUGUUGGCUUAGAAGCAGCCACUCAUUUAAAGAGUGCGUAAUAGCUCACUAGUCAAGAGAUCCUGCGCCGAAGAUGUCCGGGGCUCAAACUUACCACCGAAGCUAUGGGUGUACACUAUGUGUACGCGGUAGAGGAGCUUUCUGUAUGGGUUGAAGUCGUACCGUAAGGAGCGGUGGACUGUACAGAAGUGAGAAUGCUGGCAUAAGUAGCGAGAAAUAAGUGAGAAUCUUAUUGGCCGAAAACCUAAGGUUUCCUGAGGAAGGUUCGUCCGCUCAGGGUUAGUCGGGACCUAAGCCGAGGCCGAAAGGCGUAGGUGAUGGACAAUCGGUUGAUAUUCCGAUACCACCUAUUUACGUUUGAGAAAUGGGGUGACGCAGUAGGAUAAGAUGUGCGCACUAUUGGAUGUGCGUCUAAGCACUUAGGCAUGCUUGAUAGGCAAAUCCGUCGAGCUAAGCUGAGGUGUGAUGGGGAGCCAUUUAUGGCGAAGUAUCUGAUUCCACACUGCCAAGAAAAGCCUCUAUCGAGUGAAUAGGUGCCCGUACCGCAAACCGACACAGGUAGGUGAGGAGAGAAUCCUAAGGCCAUCGGAAGAAUUGCUGUUAAGGAACUCGGCAAAUUGACCCCGUAACUUCGGGAGAAGGGGUGCCUACGAAAGUAGGCCGCAGAGAAUAGGCCCAAGCAACUGUUUAGCAAAAACACAGGUCUCUGCUAAAGCGAAAGCUGAUGUAUAGGGGCUGACGCCUGCCCGGUGCUGGAAGGUUAAGGGGAACACUUAGCGUAAGCGAAGGUGUGAACUUAAGCCCCAGUAAACGGCGGCCGUAACUAUAACGGUCCUAAGGUAGCGAAAUUCCUUGUCGGGUAAGUUCCGACCCGCACGAAUGGCGUAAUGAUUUGGGCACUGUCUCAACAGCAAAUCCGGCGAAAUUGUAGUGCAAGUGAAGAUGCUUGCUACCCGCGAUUGGACGGAAAGACCCCGUAGAGCUUUACUGUAGCUUAGCAUUGAAUCUCGGUAUUGUCUGUACAGGAUAGGUGGGAGACUUGGAAACUUGGGCGUCAGCCUGAGUGGAGUCAUCCUUGGGAUACCACCCUGACAGUACUGGGGUUCUAACCGGCGGCCAUGAAUCUGGUCACGGGACAUUGUUAGGUGGGCAGUUUGACUGGGGCGG
rnacentral:rRNA from 1 species